UGGGGAAUUUUGGACAAUGGGCGAAAGCCUGAUCCAGCCAUGCCGCGUGAGUGAAGAAGGCCUUCGGGUUGUAAACUGCUUUUGUACGGAGCGAAAAGGUCUGCCCUAAUACGGUGGGCUCAUGACGGUACCGUAAGAAUAAGCACCGGCUAACUACGUGCCAGCAGCCGCGGUAAUACGUAGGGGGCUAGCGUUGCUCGGAAUUACUGGGCGUAGAGGGAGCGUAGGCGGACAUUUAAGUCAGGGGUGAAAUCCCGGGGCUCAACCUGGGAACUGCGUUUGUGACUGCAUCACUCGGGUACGGCAGAGGGAGGUGGAAUUCCGCGUGUAGCAGUGAAAUGCGUAGGUAUGCGGAGGAACACCGAUGGCGAAGGCAGCCUCCUGGGCCAGUACUGACGCUCAUGCACGAAAGCGUGGGGAGCAAACA
rnacentral:rRNA from 1 species